rnacentral:lncRNA from 1 species
AGGAGGUCGAGCGCCGCGUUGAGGUAAACGUCGAUCUUGUGCACGCCGUUCCGGAUAGUUUUCAGCGUCAUCCUCCAGUCUGGGGUCUGCGGCGCCUCCUGGCUCCGGGCCGCCGGCGGCCGCGGGCCCACCCAGGCACCCGCCAUCAGCAGCGGCAGCAGCAGCAGGGCGCGGGCCAUGCCCGAGGAGCCGCGCCCCGCGCCGCCGGGCGCUCGCUAAGCCCCCGCCGCGCGGCCGCAGCGCUCCGCACGCACGGCCCGGCCCGCCGCCAUCGGCCCCGCGGGCGCCGCCCCUACGGCUGGGCGGGACUGCGAGCAGGGCGCGGCCUGUUGGAGAAGGCGGCCGGCGUCCGCUCCUGGCCCGGCGCUGCGGUGUGGGGUGCUGGGAGCGGAGCUGCUCCGGGAUCUUUCCACGUGCGAGCGAUUCGCUUUCAGGUAACGGCACCGAGUGCGCGCGGUGCGGCCGCAAGUAGGGCGGUGCGGGAGGACCUCUAUUCAGCGCUGAAAGCCCAACGUUGGGGUGCUGAGAAUGGCACCCCGUGAGCCCUGUGCUCUAACACCGCGUUCUGCGUUUCUUAGGUGAGGCAGGGUGGAACCACACGGGAAUCGUUCUAAUUUCUGCAACGAAAGCCUUGUUUUAAGACGUGUGGAAUUCCUCAAAAGACGGACAGAGGGAUUUUAGGACACAGGUAACUGCAGGGGACGGGAAAUAUAAAGAACAUGGAAAGGCUUCCGGAUCUGCAGGCGGGCGCGAAAGUACCCGGGUUUCCAGACACUGGGAGACCAGUAUAUUGUUUUCUGUGAAAUGGAGAAACGCCUCUGAUCAUCCUUGUUACUUCUUUCUCAGAAAGAUGAGAGGACUGGAACUUGCAGAUACAGGUGAGCUAUGUAGUACAAGGUUAAGGAGUGCAUAAGCUAGUGCUCUUAUGCCAGGCUGCAGUCAUUCUGUGAUACAAAACAAGUGAUUCCCAAGGUUUUGAAAGCAUGCCUGCACUGGGCCUAUCCUUCUCUGGGUUGAACCUAUACGUGACUGAGAUGAGAUGUGCUGAGCUUCGUAACUGCUGGUUGCAUCUCAGAUCCGUUUGGGCAGGGCACAGAGGUCUGGCUGUGACCACGGGCCAUGUGUUAAAUACUGUUACCAAGUUUGCACAGCUAUGAUAAAUAUGAGACUGGUAAUUACAGCCACUUCUUCUGGAUGCCCCAGAGGUACUGAGCAGCUCUUGUCUCCCUUGAGAAGCAUCUACAGGAGCAGCACAACAAAUAAGUUUCUUGCUUAUGUGUAUGUUGUCUGACUGCUGCUGUCUCACUCCUGCUGUCUCAUUCCUGCUCUCUUGCUGCACUGUGCUGUCACCAAGUGUGCUGCAGUGGAGUCAGGCUGCGGAUAAAGCUGCAAACUGAACAUUGCCUUUUAUCAGGUUAGCUCUCAAAGAGGUCCUCCAAACCAAUUUAUUGGGACAAGAGGGAGCAGUACAAAAAAGAGAAUUGACAGCCAAAUGCCGACAGCCAAAUGCCAACAGCCUGUGUUUGCUGUGCUCAGCCUCUUGCACGUGCUUUGCAUGCACCACUCUUCAGCCUUUUCAAUAUGAGAGCUGACCAUUGUUUGAAAAACAUAGAUAAAAAUAAUACAUUCUGGUAGUAAUGAAUUGAAUGAAUGAAUGGUAGCACUGAAUCAAAUACCUUUCUCUAGUCCCCAUCCAGAAACCUUGCAUUUAUCGCCAGCCUUGAACAUAUGCUCUGACCAGGGGACGCAGGCAGGUGUGCUGUAUUUCAAGGAGCACUCUCCUUUUCCAUGACCUUUCAGCUCCAGCAGAGCGAUGUCAUUUUCAUAAGUUGCAGCAUCAUACUUCUCAUGGAUUAUCAGUUGCUUUAGUCUGUAAGUGUCUGUCUCUCUGUCAUACUGUAUUGUAUCCAACAGCCCAAUCCAGACACGGUAUUGAUGAACUCGAGUUGCUCUGGAAAAGGAGCCAAUGAAAUAUGUUUUGGUACCUCACACAAGCACUGUAUGUUUCAAUUACUCAUAAAUUUUUGCAUUUUAUCAAAGUUUAUGUGGAAUAAAUAUUCAUAUUAUACACGUAUAGUUUCUUUCUGGACUUGUAUGUCGCAGUUGUUCUGAAGGAGGUAGAAGGCUGGUGACACUUAUUGCUGAGUCCUGAAGCUAAUACAGAAAGACAGUACUAAAGGCCAGUGUGUUUAGUGCCCUCACAAAGAGAAAGCAAAGCUUAUGUCUCUGAUAUCAGAUGAAAGAAGAAUGGGCAAAUACACAUGGAACACUGGGCUCGGCAGGUCUUUCCUGCCCACUCCUGCUGGCUCUGGGGAAUAGGUGGCACCAGGGACAUUCUUGGGGGACAGGCACUAGACCUCCCCAGUGCUGAGAGGAGGUAAUUCGUAAUUACUUUUUUGCUCACUGACAAAAUGCUUUGUCUUUGAAUCCCUCCCACUGUUAAUGUGAGCAAAUCAGUGAUUUUAGUUGUGUUAUUGAAUGGGCAAGUAAGAAUUAGCAACCAAGUAGCCGAGAAGAGCAAUAAUGCACAGAUUCAUCUUUUCUACUUUGCAAAGAAAUCAUUUCUCAGGUUGUUGCUUUUACCUGACACAGUGUGCAGCAGUCAGAACCCAACAGCCACCAAUAUAAACCCCUCCACAGUACACUGUUGCACCUUCAGUGCCAGUGUCUUUAAUUGCCACUUGCCAAGGGAAUUCACCCUAUUAAAAUGACAGAAACCCAAAUAAUAUGAAAUCAUCAUUGUGCUAUUUUUUGUGCAUAAAGGGAAACACAAUAUCACUUCAUCUCCUUGACUUAAUCUGCUAUUAAGAAGUUGUCUGUAAUCUGGGCUCUGACAUAAAAGCUCUGUAUUCUAAACUACAGUAACGUUGUUGUCUUCUGACAUUAUGCAGUGUCUCCCUCCCCGCAGCUUUCUGUCAGGAAACUCCUAAAAAAACCAGAUGGAGGAUCUGACCUGGUAUGAUCAAACGUUACAUUUAUGACUAUAAUUAUCAUACAUAGCUAUAGUAUUAAGUAUUUUGCUGGAUUAUUUUCAACACAUACUUGCACUGUAAUGCUGUAUUUUGUAGCUUGGUGUUUUACCUUAUGAACUGUGCUUCUAUUUAUAUUCAUUCAGUGCAUUGUCACUACUAAUGUAAAACAUGAAAUUAAUGUAACUGAUUUUGUUAUUUCCGUACAUUUUAACAGAAGGACAAUAAUAACCAUUUAAAUUGUUACUGAAUGAACACAUGAGCCUAUAUUUGUAAGGUCUGGUUGUGUCUGUGUGUGGGGGGUUAUUAUUAUUUUUUACCUUUCUUGCAGUCUGUCCACCUAUGAUUCUUUUCCGUCGAGUUAAUGUGUGAUUUACAACACCGCAGUUUAUUUGGGGAAGGAAUGUCUUUGCCAGUUUUCUUUCUUUAACAAAAAGGAAGAAUGUGUCUCAGAAUUCAAGUAUUCAUUCUCUCUAUUUGGAGACAGACUUAUCUUUACCUUGAAAUCAUGAGUGCUGUGAGUAUGCAAGUGGCUGAAGUAGCAGGAAAGCAAAAGACCCAGAAUUGUUACAUCUAUUUUUGCUUUGAAAAUUACUUCUGUCUUAGCAUCACAAUAUUUCUGUUUAUUUUUCAUUACUGACAGCAUUCAGGUGAAUAAUUUCAAAGCAGUCGCCGUAGACUUGCUUAGAGUUUACCUCUAUCCGUUGCUAAUAUGUACAGAUGUGGAUCCUGAGGCAGGAUUAAUUAUUAUUGUGGUUGAGAUUAGUGGAAAGCUAGUCAAAUAGUUAAGCCCCAGAGUGUGUACUACUAAGCCACAAAGUCCAUGUAUCUGAGUGUUGCGAAUCUGGCCAACUGGCUGGUAGUUAGAAAGCCACUAAAAAGAGGGUAUACGGUGGUUUGUGGGCCGUUACUUACCUGCAUCCAUACUGUGAUUUUCCUCAUGUUUUGGUUUGCCUGUAGUGGAAUAAUAGAAUACUAAGAACAUUUACAAAUAUUUAUAUUGUUCUGUUACUUGAAUAUUUGGUUGUGUACCAAAAUUAUGGUACAUUUUCAACUGGAUAGGUGCAUAACAUUUCGCAUAGACAGAAAUACUCUGUAAGCAUUGUGCCUGCUGUUUUCUUUUUCCUAGGCACUCAUUGCUGCCAUAGCUUACAAAUGACUGGCAUCCAGCAGAUAUUGAUUUACAACUACAUGAUAUCUAGUCUUCUUUUCUUGUCCAGAGGACCAUUCUGCAAAGAAACCCUGUGAAAUGGCCUCCUUUGUUUUUUGUUUUUUUUUUUAAGUCUCUAAAGCGAUAGACUGCUCUCCUCUACCAGGAAACACCAGAAAUUCCCCCUCCUGCCCCGUCAAUCUUUUGGAGCUUUCUAAAGCCCAAAGGAGCAUUAGGUAAGAAGAUCAUUCCCCUGGUGUGAUUUUCACUCUUCCUGGUCACCCACAAGCUAUACUCUUCAAAAAUCAGCUGAAGUGCACAACAGAUGAUAAACAUUUCAAGCCAGUGGUUUAUAGCACACCACAACAAUGGAACUGUGAGCAAAUUAAAAUAUAAGGGGACUUCACAGAAUCACACAGAAUGGCCUGGGUUGGAAGGGACUUCAAGGAUCAUGAAUCUCCAACCCACCCCCCUGCCCCCCCGGCACUGGCAGGGCCACCAACCUCUACAUUUAAUACUAGAGCAGGCUGCCAAGAGCCCCGUCCAGCCUAGCCUUGAACACCUCCACGGAUGGGGGAUCCACAACCUCUCUGGGCAGCCUGUUCCAGCACCUUACCACUCUCACAGUAAAGAACUUGCCCCUGACAUCCAACCUAAAUCUUCCCUCCUUCAACUUAAAACCAUUUCCCCUUGUCCUGCUAUUAUCUCCCCUUUCAAAGAAUUGACUCCCCUAACUUGGCUUAAACACCAGAAAAAUGAAAUUAAAAAAAAAAGAGUAGCAACUUGAUUUUUUUUCAAGACCUUUUUAUUGUCCCAGUUGACCCAGUUGACAUAACUAUAGCCAAUAACUACUUAGAAACAAAUAAAUCUAAAAUUGAAGAUGUGUUUCAUUGCAAGUAACAAGUAUUAAGUAUCUUCAACAAAUGUGAAAAUUAAGUGCCCUUCCCAGUCUGUUUUGUUCCCAUAUCUUGGAUGGCAGUGGGUUUGCAGUGUGGUUUCUGGUUGUUGUGGACUGCAAGGAGUGCUCCUUAUCCCUCCAUCUGACCAUCUGUCUCUAGGUGAGUGAUAACACCUAUCCUGGCAGCUCUCUGGUUAUUCCAUUGCUGGCUGAGUGCUUUUGCUCACUAAGAUGUGUGUGCAGGGGGAAUGUUGAAAUGUGAAAAAUAUGUAGCUAGACUUUGCAUAAAGAUGAGAAAGAAAUGUCAGUUGUCAGAUCGGAUUUAUCGGCUUUGAGUGCAUCCACUGAAUCAACAGAGCCAAAGUUUAAAGUUCUCGUGAAGAAAUCCUGGCCUAAGUAAAGGCAGUGGGAAUGUCGCCAGGGCUGAAUUUAUUCCGAGCCCCUCCCACCCUUUUAAGGGCUGUAUAAUCUUAAUAAAUUCUUCCUGUUCUUCUCAGGUCAGUAGAAUCCUAUGCAUUAUCUUUAGAUUUACAUACCAAACUCUGAGCCAGGCCCGGCUUGGCAUAACUCCUGUAUUGCACUAGAUGUUUCUCUUUAGCUCUGACAGAAUAGCAACAAAAGGGGCUGAUCUUUACCUACGGGUUUUUCUUGGAAAGCUCAGGCUAUGCUGAACAUGGAGCCCAUCAGGACUCCUUGAGAGGCUUUUGCCAGAAGAGAUUUUACAACAAAAGCUUUCUGAGCUGAGCCACACUUGCAGGUUGGGUUUAGCAUAGCAUCCCGAUUAAAAGAUUUUCCAAAAGGCUGUUAAUGUAAACCUCAGAUAGAACCGAUAUACAGAGGAGAAACAGCAAGAUUCACAUUUUCAAGCUGGACUAAAACAAAUGUACGAAAUGCAGAUGCUGCAAAAGGAAAUUAAAAAAGACUUUGUUUUUAUAAUAAUAAAUUGUUUUAACUGUUUGCUGUUGGUUGGUUUGUUUUUAAAAUAAGGGGAUACCACAAUAAAAUAAGUUCUUACCUGUGCUCGACAGAAAGAAAAGAGAGAGAAGCAAACCAAGAGAACUGCAACCACUCUCAUGAUGAGGUUUUAUGUCUUUGUAGAGAAAUUCCCCUGGCCGGGACUUUCCCAAUUGCCAGUCGUUAGGUUUGUGUUUAAUUUUUAACCUUUGGUAAAACACUCUGAAGUGGACUCAGAAACAACUACGGGAGCCUUAGAUAUCAACGGAUGAGUCUGCUCUCUCCACACGGAUCCCACCCCAUUUAACCUGUUUUACUGUAAAUAGAGACCAAAGGGAAGCCCUUGAAGCCAACGGUUACAAGGGAGUGCUCAGCAGGGUCUCUCGCUCCCCGCCUGCUGCCAACGCAGACCGAUGGAGCCGCGGGCCGAUCUCCUGGCAGCAGGCACCCCGCUCUGCAGGGAGCUGUUAGGGCAGGUGCGUUCUUAGGUGAGAUACGUGUGUCUGUAUGCAGGCAGGCAAACGGAACGGAUCAACUCCACUAUCUCCGUGCGAGAGCGUAACCGGCGGAGCCUUGCUCAGAGAACUGUUGGGGCAGUGGCCAAUCCACUGCAUCCCACCUGCGGGCGGUUUCCGGGAGAACCGCGGUCUCGGCCGGCACAACGGAACGGCUCCUGCGA